AUUGAACGCUGGCGGCAGGCCUAACACAUGCAAGUCGAACGAGUGGCGGACGGGUGAGUAAUGUAUGGGAAACUGCCUGAUGGAGGGGGAUAACUCCUGGAAACGGUAGCUAAUACCGCAUACCAUCCGAUGUACCCAGAUGGGAUUCGCUAGUAGGUGGGGUAACGGCUCACCAAGGCGACGAUCCCUAGCUGGUCUGAGAGGAUGACCAGCCACACUGGGACUGAGACACGGCCCAGACUCCUACGGGAGGCAGCAGUGGGGAAUAUUGCACAAUGGGCGCAAGCCUGAUGCAGCCAUGCCGCGUGUAUGAAGAAGGCCUUCGGGUUGUAAAGUACUUUCAGCCGGGAGGCGUUACCGGCAGAAGAAGCACCGGCUAACUCCGUGCCAGCAGCCGCGGUAAUAC
rnacentral:rRNA from 1 species